CCGCCAGUUCCCACCUCAUCCCGGCCUGGGAAAAAACCUUGUCUCGACGGCGUGGAAAGAAACCGCGUCUACAGCACAGAGGCGGCGGUGCCUAGGGCACAGAGAAGGCGGCGGCGACAUCUAUACUGGCUGACCGGCGCCAUUCCAUCGGUGUCCGCUUCUCGCAGGUCAUGUGUGACCUGCUUGGUGUGGUUGCUCGACACUCUCCUCAAUUGGUGAUAUUUUCUUUUGGAGCCCAAGUUCUUCGUCUAAGGCAUGACUGGACAUGGCAUUUUGGCGACAUCAGAAUAGCACAUGCUGCUAGUGUUGUUUGAUAUUAGAGACACUUUUUGAUUUGCUUGCAUGUUUUAUUUUCAGUUUGAGGGGCACGAGUGGUCGGACUUGUUUCAGUUUCAGAAAACUAGGGACACUUCUUUUAGUUUCAGAAUUGAGAGAAGUGUAUUUUAGUUUCAGGAUUCAUAAUGAUAGGGACACUUCACUCAGCAUAUGUUCGGUUGUGAUUAAAACCAUGGUUGUGGACGUUCUCCAUAGCAUCUUUCUACUUUAUUUUAGUUUCAUGAUUCAAAAUGCUAGUGACACUUCUUUCUAUUUUUAUUUUAUAGAAAGCAACAUUGUACAUGGCAGGUCUAUGUAAGCCCACUAGGCAACGUUUUACAGUGUUGCCAGGUCUAUGUACAGCCGGUCUCUAGUGGGCUUACAGUGUUGCUUCCUUGUUGAAUUAUGUUGCAUAUAUGGCGGGGAUUAACCGAACAAACAUUUUGAGACAGGUAUUUAAACCAUAAAGAUAUUAAAUCCCAAAGGGAUUAAGUGAAAAGGAGGGAUCCACUCAAUCCCUCCCUGGAUUAGAUCCACUUGGGGAAUUAAUCCAUUGCAACCGAACAAGCCCUUAAGGGGAACCAAAAUUUCAGAAGAUAGGUAUGAGAGUUAUAAACUAUUCUUGGAAGAAAAGGUGAGGCUACCUGCACUUGUUUGGAUCUCACAGCAGGAAACGAGUUGAUGUUGCUAAUCCUUCACUAAAAUAGGAAAACUAGGCAGUUUUCUAGUUAAAUUCCAUCUUAGGGAUAGGCCCUUUGUAGUUAGUACUUACGAAUGAGAUGGACAUGCACCCUUUCUCUUGAUGCACACAAGAUUUAAUGGUACAAUAUGAAUACAAUAUGAUAACUUCCAUGACAUUUCAAAAUAUAUAGUUCCACUUUAGUAAAAUAGUUUUGGAUGCAUUUGCUACAAUUUACUGCAUAUUCAAAUUGAGGCUAACCUUGUGGCGUCGAUAACCUUGAGGCUAGUCUUUUGUAUGCAUUUGCUACAAUUUAGUGCAUUUUCUACACAAAGGACGAGGAGGGGUGGGUGCUGAUUCACUUAGUGGCAAGCUUCGACUACUCUCAAAUCAUCGACAUCCUGCUUGAGCGAAGUAUGAGACUGACGCGGCAUAUCUUAUGGUGAGCGUGCUGAACACGAAGGACGAGGAGUGGUGGGCGCUGAUUCACUCAGUGGCAAGCUUCGACUACUCUCAAAUCAUCGACAUCCUGCUUGAGCGAAGCAUAUCUUAUGGUGAGCGUGCUGAACACGAAGGACGCGUAGGGGUGGGCGCUGAUUCACUCAGUGGCAAGCUUCGACUACUCUCAAAUCAUCGACAUCCUGCUUGAGCGAAGCAUAUCUUAUGGUGAGCGUGCUGAACACGAAGGACGCGUAGGGGUGGGCGCUGAUUCAACCAGUGGCAAGCUUCGACUACUCUCAAAUCAUCGACAUCCUGCUUGAGCGAAGUAUGAGAAUGACGCGGCAUAUCUUAUGGUGAGCGUGCUGAGCACGAAGGACGUGGAGGGGUGGGCGCCGAUUCACUCCAUGGCGUGCUCCGACAACUCUCAAAUCAUCGACAUCCACCUUGAGCGAUCUGUAUUCGGUUCAAGCGGCUUUGAUGCAGCUCCAGCUGACCAUCCUCUUGUCAGUGGGAAUGGUUACGAGCAUACCUCAUGCACUAUUUGCUGAGUUAAUUGGAUAAGAGGUUUGCUUAUGCUUGUGAGGAAGACAACAAGAGUUCAAUUAGUCGAACAUGAAAAUAGUCUAAAUGCUUGCGCUUAAGCGGGGAAAAACAAUAAUUCUUCCUAUUGUGAUGGCAAAAGGUGUCCUCGAAAAGAACAGAACCAAAAAAUGUUCCUAUUGUCACGGCUCAACCUCAUAGAAAAUCUUGAGUUGGCGUUUUUAAGUUCUAUGGCAACGCACGUGCACAUAUCUAGUAGUCUAAUUAUAAAAUUAAUUAUACAUAUGAGAACUAAAAGGUAAGACGAACCUAUUAAGCCUAAUUAGUAUAUGAUUCGUCCAUGUGAUGCUUCAAUAAAUAUCACUAAUAAUGAAGUAAUUAGGUUUAAUAAAUUUGUCUAGUUAUUAUUCUUUGUCUAUGUAAUUAGUUUUAUAAUUAAACUAUAUUUAAUAUUCAUAAUUAAUAUUCAAGCAUCUGAUAUGACACAGACUAAACUUUAAUCAGAGUAACCAAACAAACCAAACACCCUCAAAGUUUGGUGUAGUCUCUAAGUUUGAUGUAGUGAUGAGAAGCUCACUUGGUCUCUUUGUAUUUAUGAGGGAAGCCUGUCUCGAGUUUUUUUUAAGGACUUGCCUCUUCAAUGUAUUAGAAGAGAACUGUAAAGGGGCCCCACAUGACCGAGCAAAAAAGCUCGGUAAGAAAAAGAAAAAAAGGAAAAACCACCACCUAUUGAACUACCUAAGAAACACUAAAGCUCCCAACUUGAUCUUUCACUAAUUGCGCGACCUGGACUAUAGAUCUUUGCUGGCCCUGGAAAAUUAUGUUGUUUCUUUCCAACCAUAUAUUCCACCAGAAGUAGAUGAGAAUCCCAUCAAAAAUCUUCUUUGGCUUCUUGCAGCAAAGACUCCUUAAUCUCUUCCACCAAUCGUACAACGACCCAUCGCUAGAAAUGCCACUUAGGAAGGAUAGAUUGGUCCAAGAUAAGAUCAU